rfam:Ovis aries breed Texel chromosome 5, whole genome shotgun sequence.
UCCCUCGUGGUCCAGUGGUUAAGGCUCUGCACUUUCACUGCAGGGUCACAGGUUCAGUCCCUGGUCGGGGAA